rnacentral:rRNA from 1 species
AGUGAACGCUGGCGGCAGGCCUAACACAUGCAAGUCGAGCGGCAGCGCGUCCGACCACCCUCGGGUGGUCGGAUGGCGGCGAGCGGCGGACGGGUGAGGAAUGCAUCGGAAUCUGCCUCGUUGUGGGGGAUAACGUAGGGAAACUUACGCUAAUACCGCAUACGACCUACGGGUGAAAGUGGGGGACCUUCGGGCCUCACGCGAUGAGAUGAGCCGAUGCCGGAUUAGCUAGUUGGCGGGGUAAAGGCCCACCAAGGCGACGAUCCGUAGCUGGUCUGAGAGGAUGAUCAGCCACACUGGAACUGAGACACGGUCCAGACUCCUACGGGAGGCAGCAGUGGGGAAUAUUGGACAAUGGGGGCAACCCUGAUCCAGCCAUGCCGCGUGUGUGAAGAAGGCCUGGUUGUAAGCACUUUGUUGGGUAGAACGGACCGGUAAGUACCUCGUUGAUGACGGUACCGAAACGAAGUAAAGCGAACCGGCCGUAAACCGUUCGUUCGCCGAGCCAGGCCGCCGGGUAAACGAACC